rnacentral:rRNA from 1 species
GACGAACGCUGGCGGCGUGCUUAACACAUGCAAGUCGAACGGUAAGGCCCUUCGGGGUACACGAGUGGCGAACGGGUGAGUAACACGUGGGUGAUCUGCCCUGCACUUCGGGAUAAGCCUGGGAAACUGGGUCUAAUACCGGAUAGGACUCCUGGCUUCAUGGUUGGGGGUGGAAAGCUUUUGCGGUGUGGGAUGGGCCCGCGGCCUAUCAGCUUGUUGGUGGGGUAAUGGCCUACCAAGGCGACGACGGGUAGCCGGCCUGAGAGGGUAACCGGUCACACUGGGACUGAGAUACGGCCCAGACUCCUACGGGAGGCAGCAGUGGGGAAUAUUGCACAAUGGGCGCAAGCCUGAUGCAGCGACGCCGCGUGAGGGAUGACGGCCUUCGGGUUGUAAACCUCUUUCAGCUAUGACGAAGCGCAAGUGACGGUAGUAGCAGAAGAAGGACCGGCCAACUACGUGCCAGCAGCCGCCGUAA